rnacentral:rRNA from 1 species
UACGGGGGGGGGCAAGCGUUGUUCGGAAUUACUGGGCGUAAAGGGCUCGUAGGCGGCCAACUAAGUCAGACGUGAAAUCCCUCGGCUUAACCGGGGAACUGCGUCUGAUACUGGAUGGCUUGAGUUUGGGAGAGGGAUGCGGAAUUCCAGGUGUAGCGGUGAAAUGCGUAGAUAUCUGGAGGAACACCGGUGGCGAAGGCGCAUCCUGACCGAACACU